rnacentral:rRNA from 1 species
UACGGAGGGGGCUAGCGUUGUUCGGAAUUACUGGGCGUAAAGCGCACGUAGGCGGCUUUGUAAGUUAGAGGUGAAAUCCCAGGGCUCAACCCUGGAACUGCCUUUGAUACUGACGAUCUGGAGAUCGGGAGAGGUUGGUGGAAUUCCGAGUGUAGAGGUGAAAUUCGUAGAUAUUCGGAGGAACACCAGAAGCGAAGGCGGCCAACUGGCCCGAUACUGACGCUGAGGCGCGAAAGCGUGGGGAGCAAACAGG